AGGGCCUACGGUGGAUGCCUUGGUGCUAGGCGUCGAUGAAGGGCGUGAUAAACUGCGAUAAGCUUUGGGUAAUAGUUCUAUGUGUUGAUCCAGAGAUUCCCGAAUCGGGCAACCGGAUAGACAGUUUAAUGUCUAUCGAUUGCGUUUGAAUGAAUGCAAUCGGUAACUGGGGGAAGUGAAACAUCUCAGUACCCCAAGGAAAAGAAAGAAAAAUCGAUUCUCUGAGUAGCGGCGAGCGAAAUGGGAAUAGCCUAAACCAAAUAUGUGUGAUAGUCUGCGCACGUUGCAUAUUUGGUGUUGUGGGAUAUAAUCGGAGUGGCGUGCAGGUCACUCGGGAAGUUACAAAUAAGUUUUCUAGCUUAAGAACUCUGGAAUAGGUUCACCAUAGAAGGUGAUAGUCCUGUGAGCGAAAGAAAAUUUACUUCCUGGAUUUUGUUCCCGAGUACCACGGGAUAGCCAAACCUGUGGGAAUCUAGGAGGACCAUCUCCUAAGGCUAAAUAUGACCUAGCAACCGAUAGUGAAAAAGUACUGUGAAGGAAAGGUGAAAAGUUCCCCGGGAGGGAAGUGAAAUAGAACCUGAAACCGUAAUGGCCUACAAGCUGUGGAAGUGCUAGACCAAGCUUUGCUUGGUAUGCAUGACCGCGUGCCUUUUGCAUAAUGAGCCGGUGACUUACUCUGUGUAGCAAGAUUAAGCUUUUCUGAAGCGUAGUCGUAGUGAAAACGAGUCUGAAUAGGGCGCAUAGUUGCAUGGAGUAGACCCGAAACUGGGUGAUCUAUCCAUGGGCAAGGCGAAGCGUAUGUAAAAGUACGUGAAGGCCUGAACCCACCAAGGCUGAAAACUUGGGGGAUGACCUGUGGAUCGGAGUGAAAGGCUAAUCAAACCCAGUAAUAGCUGGUUCUCCCCGAAAUAGCUUUAGGGCUAGCCUUAUGUGUUCAGCGGUGGAGGUAGAGCUCUAAUUGGACUAGCGGCCCUACCAGGUUAGCAACUCCAGUUAAACUACAAAUGCCAUCGUUCCAAAGCAUAGGAGUCAGUCAGUGGGGGAUAAGCUCCAUUGACGAAAGGGAAACAGCCCGGACCGCCAGCUAAGGUCCCUAAAUACAAGUUAAGUGGCAAAGGAUGUUUUGUUACAUAGACAGCCAGGAUGUUGGCUUAGAAGCAGCCAUUCAUUUAAAGAGUGCGUAACAGCUCACUGGUCAAGCGGCUUUGCACCGAAAAUUUCAGGGGCUUAAACUUGUUACCGAAGCUGCGGAUUGUUCUCGUUUACGAGGAUAGUGGUAGGGGAGCGUUCUAUAGUAGGUUGAAGGAGAAUUGAAAAACUCUCUGGACAAAUUAGAAGUGAUCAUGCCGGCAUGAGUAGCGAUAAAACAAGUGAGAAGCUUGUUCGCCGUAAGCCUAAGGUUUCCUGUGGAAGGCAAGUCCACACAGGGUUAGUCGCGUCCUAAGUCGAGGCUGAAGAGCGUAGACGAUGGGCAACAGGUUAAUAUUCCUGUACCACCACCAGGCGAUUGAAUCUAGGAGAGACGCAAACAUUAGAAUCUACUAGCGGAUGGAAGUGCUAGGUCAAGCGGACGGAGGUUCCGGUUAAUCCCGGAAAUUACCUCUGAAAGUGAUGAGGUGUCCUUAAGGACUGAACUGGUUCGGUUGUUUGCCAAGAAAAGAACUCCGAGAGGACAAAUGGUGGUGUGCGUACCGCAAACCGACACAGGUAGGCAAGGAGAAUAUCCUAAGGCGCUCGAGAGAACUCUCGCUAAGGAACUCGGCAAAAUGGCUCCGUAACUUCGGGAGAAGGAGUGCUUGAGUUGGCUGGUUCGCCAGUCUAGCGAAAGCCGCAGUGAAAAGGCCCAUGCGACUGUUUACUAAAAACACAGGUCUGUGCUAAAUCGCAAGAUGAUGUAUACGGACUGACGCCUGCCCGGUGCUGAAAAGUUAAGGAGAGGGGUUAGAGCUUAGGCUCGAAGCUCUGAACCGAAGCUUCAGUAAACGGCGGCGGUAACUAUAACCGUCCUAAGGUAGCGAAAUUCCUCGUCGGGUAAAAUCCGACCUGCACGAAUGGCGUAACGAUAUGGGCACUGUCUCAGCGAGAGACUCGGUGAAAUUGUAUUAUCGGUGAAGAUGCCGAUUACCCGUAAAAAGACGGAAAGACCCCGUGAACCUUUACUAUAGCUUGAUAUUGAAUUUGGAUUUAGCUUGUGUAGGAUAGGUGGGAGACUUUGAAGCUGGAGCGCUAGCCCCAGUGGAGUCGCCCUUGAAAUACCACUCUUGUUGUAUCUAAAUCCUAACUCUGGUUUGUAUAUCCAAGCCGAGGACAGUGUCAGGUGGGUAGUUUGACUGGGGCGGU
rnacentral:rRNA from 1 species